UACAGAGGUCUCAAGCGUUGUUCGGAUUCAUUGGGCGUAAAGGGUGCGUAGGCGGCGCGGUAAGUCGGGUGUGAAAUCUCGGAGCUUAACUUCGAAACUGCAUUCGAUACUGCCGUGCUUGAGGACUGGAGAGGAGACUGGAAUUUACGGUGUAGCGGUGAAAUGCGUAGAUAUCGUAAGGAAGACCAGUGGCGAAGGCGGGUCUCUGGACAGUUUCCUGACGCUGAGGCACGAAGGCCAGGGAGCAAACGGG
rnacentral:rRNA from 1 species